CCACACAAAAGUCAGCCUCUUCUCCUACAGGGGUGUACACAGUUAUCUUUCUGAACAUCAGAAGCUGUGAGAGAGACCACCAGAAAAUUCCUGCUUUAUCUAUUAGGGCAGAAAGACAGAUAUAUGCUUUCCUGACCCACUGGCUUCUCUUCCCAAGACUCCAAGGGGUCUUCAUCAUAGUGGGCUAGGAGGGAAAGAAAAAUGUGAUUCCUAAAUCUAUACAACCGGGGACUGUAUUACAUGAUAGCAUAGGAAAAAAAUCUCUCUCUCUCACACACACACACUCACAUACAAACAUACACACACAUGUAUGCACACUUAAGCAUCUCUAUACAGACCAUGUUUAAAAAGAUGUGGAGAUGUGGCAUGCCAGAUAGAGUGCUCAACUUUACAGACAAGGAAGCAAUCUGGAAAUAUGCUUCCAAAUGGGUAAAAAUAAACAAAGAUUCAGACAUCUCAGCAAAACUGGAAGCCAAGAAAUCAAAAGAAACCUUCGGACAACUGGAAAAAGCUUGAUCCUUGUGUUCCGAGCAUCUGUGGACAAAGCUGAAGCUGGAAGGAAGCAGAAUGUACCCAUCAAAGCUCUUCCCAUCA